CAGCAGCCGCGGUAAUACGUAGGGUGCAAGCGUUAAUCGGAAUUACUGGGCGUAAAGCGUGCGCAGGCGGUUUUGUAAGACAGAGGUGAAAUCCCCGGGCUCAACCUGGGAACUGCCUUUGUGACUGCAAGGCUAGAGUACGGCAGAGGGGGAUGGAAUUCCGCGUGUAGCAGUGAAAUGCGUAGAUAUGCGGAGGAACACCGAUGGCGAAGGCAAUCCCCUGGGCCUGUACUGACGCUCAUGCACGAAAGCGUGGGGAGCAAACAGGAUUAGAGACCCCUGUAGUCCCUGUCUCUUAUAC
rnacentral:rRNA from 1 species